UCCUUAAACCUCUCCCAUGCUUCAUAAAAGGGGUCACCAUCCAUCUGCAUAAAUGUAGUAAUAUCGUUAC
rnacentral:snoRNA from 1 species